AACGAACGCUGGCGGCAGGCUUAACACAUGCAAGUCGAACGCACCGCAAGGUGAGUGGCAGACGGGUGAGUAACACGUGGGGAUCUGCCCAAUGGUACGGAAUAGCUCCGGGAAACUGGAAUUAAUACCGAAUGAGCCCGCAAGGGGAAAGAUUUAUCGCCAUUGGAUGAACCCGCGUCGGAUUAGUUAGUUGGUGUGGUAAAGGCGCACGAAGGCGACGAUCCGUAGCUGGUCUGAGAGGAUGAUCAGCCACACUGGGACUGAGACACGGCCCAGACUCCUACGGGAUGCAGCAGUGGCGAAUAUUGGACAAUGGGCGCAAGCCUGAUCCCGCCAUGCCGCGUGAGUGAUGAAGGCCUUAGGGUUGUAAAGCUCUUUCGCCGACGAAGAUAAUGACGGUAGUCGGAGAAGAAGCCCCGGCUAACUCCGUGCCAGCCGCCGCUGUAAUAC
rnacentral:rRNA from 1 species